UAAUACGGAGGGGGCAAGCGUUGUUCGGAUUUACUGGGCGUAAAGGGUGUGUAGGCGGUUAUGUAAGUCUGGUGUGAAAUCUUCAUCGCUCAACGGGAAGAGGUCACUGGAAACUGCGUAACUCGAGUGUGGUAGAGGCAAGCGGAAUUCCUGGUGUAGCGGUGGAAUGUGUAGAUAUCAGGAAGAACAUCGGUGGCGAAGGCGGCUUGCUGGGCCAUUACUGACGCUGAGACACGAAAGCGUGGGGAGCAAACGGGAUUAGAUACCCCGGUAGUCCACGCCGUAAACUGUGCACACUAGGUGUGGGAGGUAUCGACCCCUUCCGUGCCGCAGUUAACACAUUAAGUGUGCCGCCUGGGGAGUACGGCCGCAAGGUUG
rnacentral:rRNA from 1 species